rnacentral:rRNA from 2 species
CACGUAGGGGGCAAGCGUUGUCCGGAUUUAUUGGGCGUAAAGAGCUCGUAGGCUGUUCGAUAAGUCGGGUGUGAAACCUCCAGGCUCAACCUGGAGACGCCACCCGAUACUGUCAUGACUAGAGUCCGGUAGGGGAGCGUGGAAUUCCUGGUGUAGCGGUGAAAUGCGCAGAUAUCAGGAGGAACACCAGCGGCGAAGGCGGCGCUCUGGGCCGGUACUGACGCUGAGGAGCGAAAGCGUGGGUAGCAAACAGG